GUCUUUAGUCUACAACAACCAACAAUUUUAAGAGUUGAUGAACCAGCAGCUUAUAGAUCUUUCCCCCCCUUAUUUAAUAUUUGGUACGUUUCACCUUACUCCACAGCAAAACAGAAUUACACAUUUUUUUUCUUUUUAUUUUCAUUGGCUUCUUUUUCCAAAGGAAUCUAGAUGCUACCUGAAAUGAUGUUCUAGAUUUAAUACAUCCUUAUUCUCCAGUAUCCUGGGUAGCCGAGUUGAUCUAACAGACAGAAUGCUUGGUUAACAAGAUGAAUUGGUUAACAAGAUGUGUAACCCAUGGCCUCUGUCCUCAACGUAUCUCACCUUGUCUGGAUCCAUUACAGAGACCAUAGAAUAUCGUGGGCUACCAAACAUACAGUCCUCCAAAUCCAAAAGCCAAAAAAGAACUUUUCAAAUAUUCUCCAGUGCAAAUGCAAGUGAUGUUCACUAUGCUACUACAUUCAAUACUAAGUAGGCAGUAUUAUCAUACAAACAAAAACCAACCCCGCAGACAUGGAGCAAAGUCUGCUUAAACACGCCACCCCCGGGGAAGGAAAACCACCUCACACCGGAAGGUUUAAGUUCAGCACGUAUACCGUGCACAGAAUUAAAACAUCAAAGCAGAACCUAGGUCUCUACACGGCCCGGAACCAAGCAACAAACAGCUUCUGCCAGCCACAAUUAAAUCCAAGCCCUAACUUAGAUGCUUUAAAUUAGUAACAGUUAAACCAGCUCUCUUUCACUUGUUUGCUCAUAAAAUCUUGCCCCCGCUGUGAGUCAGCGGUGACUCAUAAUCACUUCCUACAAGAAGCACCUGUUUUUAGGCCCAUCCCUUGCAACCGAAGUGCUGAGAUCUUAGCUUAAUGCUUGCUAACAAGGGAGUAUAAUCCCUCGUCUCUCUGCAACCAGACCGGGCCAGGCAGAGCUGCAGGGACUGCCAACAGAACUGGAUCCUUUGAAAAGUAUUAAAAACGGAGAUGGAAAAAGGAAAUCCAAUAGUUCUUAGAAGCUCUCUUGUCCUCUUUUCAAGCGAAGGAAAAGAAACGCCCCGUGGCCGUUUCCAUGUCGUCUGAACAAGACCGGUCAGAUCGUUUGUUUGGAUUUUUCAGCAACCUUUACUAAACACUUCUAUCCACGUGAGCAAUAAGAAAAAGGGGAGCUGUUUAAUGAGUGUGUAAGAGAGAAGGGGGCGCUGAGAGGAGGAAGGGGAGAGAAAGUGCUCAAUUCUGACAAAUAGUCACAACUAGCCAUUUCGGAGAAGUCGGUCGAAAUUUCCGCCGGGUCCACAGCUGACCUGGACUCACCUUUGGUGUGUUCACUCUCCAUAGGUCAGUCUUCUCAGUCCGGAUUGGCUCCUUGUUGACUGAACUUAAAAAGCUGUGAAAAUAAACGAAGGGAAGAUGACAGGAUACCUUGCAGGAAUCGCGGUGCAGAAGGGACGAGUAUCACUUACUAAUGCCCUAAAUAAUGAAUGACGGAUGAAUAAUACAUUCGAAAGAAAAGACCCUCCUUAUGGCCACUUCAUGGUAUCCUAACCUCUCCUAUCCGGGCACAAAUUGGAGAAGUGUUUUACUGAUUGGAUGAGGGCAUAUUCAUAGGUUUUGCGUUUUGUUAUUCCUCUCAACAACUUUUAUGUUAUGGAAUUUUUUUUUUCUGUGUGUUUCAAAAAUACUUUAAAAUGAAUGUUUUGUUUUGUUUUGUUAAAUACUCUUAUAUGGUUAAACCACCUUUAAUCUCCCUCUUUCCUUUUACAUAAAACUCACCACAGACCGUGGACGAAUUAAAGUGUCGGAGGGAAACAGAAAAAAAUCGCAUUUCCACAAUUUCCACAAUCUGAUGCAAAUGGUGUCUCUCCCGAGGGGUUAUACCAAAACAGGAAGUGUGAACCAAAGGGACAAAGAUAUAUACCCUAAACUUCGGGAUGCUAUUCGACACAUAUUUAUUUUAUCCUGGGGCACACAUUCGGCAGAUAGGAACGUGGUGAUGAUUUAUGUCCGGCCAUUAGGGAUGAUGGCUGUACUGUUACUUAUUUUUAAGUAUUUUGAAUAUGUACUGAUGUGGAUAAAUUUCCUUUGGAAAAUGUACACUACCUAAAUCGUU